rnacentral:rRNA from 1 species
CUUUUGUAUAAUGGGUCAGCGACUUAUAUUCUGUAGCAAGGUUAACCGAAUAGGGGAGCCGAAGGGAAACCGAGUCUUAACUGGGCGUUAAGUUGCAGGGUAUAGACCCGAAACCCGGUGAUCUAGCCAUGGGCAGGUUGAAGGUUGGGUAACACUAACUGGAGGACCGAACCGACUAAUGUUGAAAAAUUAGCGGAUGACUUGUGGCUGGGGGUGAAAGGCCAAUCAAACCGGGAGAUAGCUGGUUCUCCCCGAAAGCUAUUUAGGUAGCGCCUCGUGAAUUCAUCUCCGGGGGUAGAGCACUGUUUCGGCAAGGGGGUCAUCCCGACUUACCAACCCGAUGCAAACUGCGAAUACCGGAGAAUGUUAUCACGGGAGACACACGGCGGGUGCUAACGUCCGUCGUGAAGAGGGAAACAACCCAGACCGCCAGCUAAGGUCCCAAAGUCAUGGUUAAGUGGGAAACGAUGUGGGAAGGCCCAGACAGCCAGGAUGUUGGCUUAGAAGCAGCCAUCAUUUAAAGAAAGCGUAAUAGCUCACUGGUCGAGUCGGCCUGCGCGGAAGAUGUAACGGGGCUAAACCAUGCACCGAAGCUGCGGCAGCGACGCUGAUGC